ACUCCCCUUGUCCUUCAAACCCCAAGCCAUGUAGGAAUCCACGGCUUCUCACAUGUAAGCCAUUACUGGAGCAGUUGAGUGGCUACAGCUGCUGCAGGGAAGGUGCACAGUUAUCUGGUGUUUGGACCUCCUCCUGGCUGAAGAUGAAGGCCCAAAACAGGAUCUUUCUCAGAAGCUGUGCUGCUUUGGCCAGGAAGGUGGCCGGUUGUCUGGAGCUGAAGAUGGCGCCGCCUCAGAAGCUCUCUGGCUCUCACCUGUCCAAGAAACGGCUGGCCUCUGUAUUCCACACCUUCACCCUUGCAGCCUGCCCUCUGUGGAGUCCUGGAGCCAAGGAGACUCCCUACGUUGCCGGGGCCUGAGGCACAAACCUCUUGUGCUGGCGGAUCCCUGUGCACUCACCAGGAAGGUGGCCGGUUGUCUGGAGCCGAAGAUGGCGCCGCCUCAGAAGCUCUGUGGCUCUCGCCCAUCUCAGAAACGGCUGGCCUGUGAAUUCCACACCGUCACCCAUGCAGCCUGCCCUCUGCGGAGUCCUGGAGCCAAGGAGACUCCCCCCGCCGCCGGGGCCUGAGGCACAAACCUCUCAGGCUGGAGGAUCCCUGUGCCCAUAAGUCAGUCACUUAAGUCUUUUAGUUCUCAGAGCCUUCCUCCUUAUCUUGACAUAAUAAGUAUAAUAACUAAGGUGCAGGCUCAUUAUCAGGAGGAAAUGAAAUUUUAUACGUAGACAUCUUGGGAGGGGGAUCAGCAUGCUUCAGAUGAUAUUAUUAUCAUCAGAGUUUUUGUAAAAGCUAUCCCAGGAAGACCCCAAAGCAACUCGAGAAUGUUGUGGUCUUGCAGCUUUGCAUGAAUAAAUACUGUCCACUCUACCAGAAAA
rnacentral:lncRNA from 1 species